CGACGCGAGCCGAAUCUCGACGCCGUCGCUGCAUCGCCUGCGGAUUCCGCAGUGGUGGUGGGAUCCUUGUGAGGGAGGAGCAGGAGAACCGGAGGAGGAGAUGUGGCGGCUGAGGAUCGCGGAGGGCGGGGACGAUCCGUGGCUGCGCACGACCAACGGCUACUUGGGCCGCCAGGUGUGGGAGUUCGACGCCGCCGUGGAGCCCGACCCCGAGGAGGUCGCCGCCGUUGAGGCCGCGCGCCAGGGGUUCGUCGCGCGGAGGCACCAGCUCAAGCACAACGCCGACCUCGUCAUGCGAAACCAGUUUGCUAAAGCAAAUCCUCUUGAGCUGGACCUUCCUGCUGUCAAGCUGGAAGAGCAACACUGGCCGGGGGAUUAUGGUGGUCCAAUGUUCCUUAUGCCAGGCUUGGUACUUCCUUGAACAUAACAGUAAAAUGUCAAACUUGCUUGCUUUAUUUGGAUACACAUUGCUCAACCGCAUUCUGUGUCUAAUCUUGUCAUAUGCUUUAUAGGAAAUUGUCUUGUCUCGUAUUUGUGUGUAAGCACGAAUGUGGAUUCUUUCUAAAAUGGAAACUGUGACAGGAAUAUCAUCUUUGGAUUAUGUGGAAACAUAUUUCCACGUUUCUUGUCCUAAAUGAAAGCUACUCAUUGUCUUUUCCCCUUGAGAUUAUAACCUUGUAUGUGACUGGAGCACUGAACACUGUCUUAUCAUCAGAACAUCAGAUUGAGAUCCGCCGGUAUCUCUAUAAUCAUCAGGCAAGGUUUCAGUUCUAAAUUUUGUCACCCAUAAUUUGGGUAAAAAUUACACUAUUUUUUACUGGAAGCAUAGAACGGAGAUGGAGGCUGGGGUUUGCACAUUGAGGGACCAAGCACCAUGUUUGGUUCAGCCUUGACCUAUGUCAGUUUGAGAUUGCUUGGAGAGGGAACAGAUAGUGGAUAUGGAGCUAUGGAGAAAGGUCGAAAUUGGAUUCUAGACCAUGGAGGAGCAACGUUUGUAACAUCAUGGGGAAAAUUUUGGCUCUCGGUACUUGGUGUAUUUGAUUGGUCUGGUAACAACCCAGUGCCACCAGAAGCAUGGUUGCUACCAUAUUGCCUGCCAUUUCAUCCAGGGCGAAUGUGGUGUCACUGUCGAAUGGUGUAUUUGCCAAUGUGUUACAUUUAUGGAAAGAGAUUUGUCGGACAAGUUACGCCACUUGUUUUGGAAUUGAGAAAGGAACUUUACAAAGGCCCCUAUAAUGAGAUUGAUUGGGACAAGACUCGCAAUCAAUGUGCUAAGUUUACAACUUUCUGGUGCCGAAACAGCAGACGCAGGAAUCAGCGGGUAAAAGUGCACAUAGAGUGGGCAUAUCAGCACAUCUCCAAAUGACCUGAAACUUUCGGGGAAGGAUUCUCUGAAGAAAUAAUGAAGGCACCCAAAAGUGGAGCCAGAGGGGGCCCACCAGGCUCCCAGGCGGCCUCUGGGCGCGGCCACCUCCUAGGUCGCGUCGGGUGGCUGCCUGGGAGGGGGGUCCCACCUUCGGGGCUCUCCUUUGGCCUGUAUGUUCCCCGUGACCUAAAACCCCCAGAACAGAAGUUGGAUCGGGAGUUCCGCCGCCGCUCCGAGGCGGAAAGCACCAAAGAAGAAAAGACCUUUCCGGCGGGCAUAUUCCGCGGAGGAGAACUCCUCCCGGAGGGGGAUCGCCAUCACCAUCAUCAUCAUCAUCACAGCAUCAUCGAGAUCAUCAUCACCAUCACCCUCAUCAUCAGCACCAUCUCCAUCACCAUCCCAUCUCAUCUCACCAUUGCAAUCUGAGUAGUAACUUGCACUAUUCAUCCCCUCUACUUUACCGGUGUUGAUUACUCCUUUGUGGUGAAUGCUAUUAAGUUUUGUUGGAGGAUUUGUGUUAUGACCAGAUUGUUCGUCAUCUAUUUAGCACCUCUGAUCAUGAUCUCUUUUAUGUCUUUUGAGUAGUUACUUUAGUUCUUGAGGACAUGGGAGAAGUCUUGUUGCUAGUAGUCAUAUGAUGUUGAAGUAA